rnacentral:rRNA from 1 species
UACGGAGGGAGCAAGCGUUACUCGGAAUUAUUGGGCGUAAAGGGCGUGUAGGCGGUCCGGUAAGUCCGCUGUGAAAGUCGGGGGCUCAACCCUCGAAUGCCGGUGGAUACUGUCGGGCUAGAGUCCGGAAGAGGAGUGUGGAAUUCCUGGUGUAGCGGUGAAAUGCGCAGAUAUCAGGAGGAACACCGGUGGCGAAGGCGGAUCUCUGGGCCUUACCUGACGCUAAAGCGCGACAGCAUGGGGAGCAAACGGG